GUCGGACGGUAACAGGAGGGAGCUUGCUUCCUUGCUGACGAGUGGCGGACGGGUGAGUAAUGCUUGGGAAUCUGUCUUAGGGAGGGGGAUAACCACGGGAAACUGUGGCUAAUACCGCGUAUAAUCGGAAGAUGAGAGGUGUGGGAUCGAAAGACCAUAUGCCCUAAGGUGAGCCCAAGUGAGAUUAGGUAGUUGGUGGGGUAAAGGCCUACCAAGCCGACGAUCUCUAGCUGGUCUGAGAGGAUGACCAGCCACACUGGGACUGAGACGCGGCCCAGACUCCUACGGGAGGCACCCCUGGGGAAUAUUGCGCAAUGGGGGCAACCCUGACGCACCCGUGCCGCGUGAAUGAAGAAGGCCUUCGGGUUGUAAAGUUCUUUCAUUGGUGAGGAAGGUAAUAAUGUUAAUAGUAUUAUUAAUUGACGUUAGCCACUGAAUAAGCACCGGCUAAUUCCGUGCCAGCAGCCGCGGUAAUACGGAAGGUGCGAGCGUUAAUCGGAAUAACUGGGCGUAAAGGGCACACACGCGGUGACUUAAGUGAGGUGUGAAAGCCCAUGGCUUAACUUUGGAAUU
rnacentral:rRNA from 1 species